rnacentral:lncRNA from 1 species
UGAUUUCGCAUUUUAUUUGGAUGUUCUCCCAAGUUUUAGAUGUUACGUAUGUCCGUAACUACCUAAGAAUUUCUCGUAACUACAUAACAUUAAACUCUCAUUUGCUUAAAUGAUAAUAACAAAAAACAGUUUUUGAAUUCUGAAUACAAUGAAGUAGCAUCAACAUUGCUAAAUCGCUGAUCUAUUAAAGAUCACAAAAUAAGGGCUACAACAAACGGUGGACAGCUAAAUUGCUGAUCUACAACAAACAGUCAAGAGCGCUAUUGAGUACUGCAUGCAAAAUGAGUAACAAAAACAUGGCAAAGUUGUUGAAACCAAAUUAACACAAUUUACUACCGGUGGUCAACUAAAUAAAUAAAUAAUGCUAAGAAGCAUUACAGGCAGAAAAAGAUGGGCAAUUACUCAGCUGUGACUCUCAUCUAACA